rnacentral:ncRNA from 1 species
AGAGUAGAUUUUCGUGCGUUAAGUGUCGGGCGGACGGGGAGUUGCCGCUCGAACGAAAGUUAAAAACUGCGGUACGAAAAUCGCAUCCCGCU